GGUGUUUAGGCUGGGGUACUCAUAGAUAUUCCCUGACUAGCUGGACCGUGGUAGUAGUGAGGAACGUGACAUUUUCGAGCUACCUUUGUAGAUCACAUCUCGUUAGCAGGAAGGAUAGGGUUUAUAGGUGCGGGUCGAACAUCCUUUGUGUUGUCUAGAUUCCGUUAGCCUCCCCAUUAGAACAGUAGAUCAUCCUUACCAAGGUUAGAAGGAGACUACGGUUGCAGUCUUCUCUAUUUAUCACUCACAUCGAAAGACAUUCUUUGUGCCUAAAGGUUAGUAGUGAUAGACCGGUUAGUCAGAUGCACUCUUUCUCCUAGUGGUAAAAAAAUAAAUACGAUACUCUGGAUAAUUUUCCGGGUGAAGUGCUCACCGAUAUCCGUGCGCUUGCGGAUCAAUUCCUUAUUGCGUUCCCAAAUAUCAACAAGCAUUUCUAGCGCCGUUGCCGGGGAGAAAGACGGUUUGCUGAGAUAACCUGUGUCUUGCUAUUAGCUUGUAUCUAUACUUUUAUCUUUUCUUAUCUUUUAUAUUCUUUAUUUAUUUUUCUUUAUUCUUACCUUAUGGAAAACCAAAAUUCUAAAUCGAUCCAUGAGUCUGCAAUCCCUUUAGCAACUGACCUUUUACCAUGGGAAUCAUCACAGCCUA
rnacentral:lncRNA from 1 species